AUGGCCGGCGGCUCCUCCUCCCCCUCGCCGGCCUCCGCGCUCAUCCAGGUCCGCUGCGCGGGCUGCCGCGGCGUCCUCGCCGUCGCCCCCGGCAUGACGGAGUUCAUCUGCCCCAAGUGCCAGAUGGCGCAGCGGCUGCCCCCGCAGCUCAUGCCCAAUCCCUCCUCCUCCACGCCUUCCCCGCCCAAAUCCUCCGCCGCCCCCGCCCCCGCCCUCCCCGCUCCGCCGCAGCCCCGGAAGCGGGCGUCGCAGGCGGCACAGACGUCGCAGGCGCAUGGGGUGGACCCCACGAAGAUCCAGCUCCCCUGCGUGCGCUGCCAGGCCGUCCUCAACGUGCCCCACGGCCUAACCAACUUCCGCUGCCCGCAGUGCGGGGUCGACCUCGCCGUGGACCUCUCCAAGCUCCAGAACUUCCUCACCGCCGCCAGCAACGGCGCGCCCCCAGCGUCAGUCCCCGUGCCCCCGACGUUCCUCCCGGUGUUGCCGCCAGGCAUGCCGCAGCCGCCACAGCUGGUUGCUGUCACGACAACAGUCCCUAUUGGGCUGCCCACCACAGAGCCGCCCGAGGAGAUCAAUGAGGUUGCAAUUGAUGUUGAGCGCGAUGAAGAUGAAGGUGGUACCGUCGGCGAAACUUUCACUGACUAUAGGCCUCCCAAACUAUCUCUUGGUCUGCCUCAUCCGGAUCCGGUAGUAGAGACUUCUUCGCUGUCAGCUGUACAACCUCCUGAACCGACUUAUGAGUUGAACAUCAUGGAUGAGUUGGAUCAAACUAAGACAUUAUCUUGCUUACAAAUCGAGACAAUAGUUUAUGCUUGUCAGCGGCACCUUCAUCAUCUCCCUACUGGUGAUAGAGCAGGUUUUUUUGUUGGUGAUGGUGCUGGUGUUGGUAAGGGCCGGACAAUUGCUGGAUUAAUCUGGGAAAAUUGGCAACAGGGAAGGCAUAAGGCAGUGUGGGUAUCGGUUGGUUCUGACUUGAAGUAUGAUGCUCGAAGAGAUUUAGAUGAUGUUGGUGCAAAAUGCGUGCAAGGUAUGGAACCUAUUAAAUUGAAUGACAUAUCACCUCGAGUCAAUGCCAUCUGCAUUGCACCAACUGUGUGUGACCCCUGCGGAUCUACAUGA
rnacentral:rRNA from 1 species